rnacentral:tRNA from 1 species
GCUCCCGUAGCUCAAUCUAUAGAGCACCGCGCUUCGAACGCGGAGGCUGGAGGCGAAAGUCCUUCCGGGAGCACCA